UCAAGGUGGUGGUGGCCACGAAGCAGAACACAGACACGAACAUCACCCAGCCCUGGACCAGGGGCCAGGGCACCAGGGAGGAGGCCACCAGGAUCCACACCAGGCCCCCGAAGAUCUGCGGGGGAGGAGGAGGGGUGAGUUUUGGCCUAGAGGAGAGCCCCAGCCCAGGAAGGGCCCCCGACCAGCGGUCACAUGGGGUGACUGGAGUGCAAAAACACAGGAAGCAGGCAAAGAGAACAGGGCAGGCAUUUUCCUCUGCAAAAAUGCAUCUUUAGUCCCCCCAGGGCCCUGUGCUGGAUCUCAAUCCCAAUCCCCGGCACGCUUGCCCUGAUUAACUUUUUAAAACUUUUUUUUCUUGAGACAGAGUCUUGCUCUGUCACCCAGGCGUGAGUACAGUGGCGUGUGGCUCACUGCAACCUCUGCCUCCUGGGUUCAAGUGAUUCUCAUGCCUCAGCUUCCUGAGUAGCUGGGAUUACAGGUGCAUGCCACCAUGCCCAGCUAAUUUUUCUAUUUUUGGUAGAGACGGGGUUUCACCAUGUUGGCCAGGCUGGUCUUGAACUCCUGACCUCAGGUGAUCUGCCCUCCUCAGCCUCCCAAAGGGUUGGGAUUACAGGCGUGAGCCACUGCACCUGGCCUGAGUAACUUUUUAAAUAUGGGUUUAAUUUUUUUAUUUAACAAACACUUAUAUCAGACCUACAUUCCAGGCACUAUCCUAAGCACUUUACAAAUAAUAACUCAGUGAUUCUCACAGUAACCCUCUGAGCAAUGCUGACCUGUUUGCCAGAUGAGGAAACUGAGUCCAGGAAGUGUUCUGAUGAUCAGAUUUGGAGUUGGAAUGGAGUAACCAAGGACAGCCUUGUCUCUUUGGAUGGCUGAGGAUGGGCAUGAGGAAAGUACAGUCCCGUGGUUAUCCAGAAUACACCCCAGUUGAUGUCGCCAGGGUCAGUGAGCCCCAUACAGUCAAAGAGGAGCAGACAUGGGGGCCAGUAGCACCCCUCAGUAGCCCAGCCCCGCUCCUCGCCGUGGAUGGACACAUACAAACCCGCUCCCCACCGCGGAUGGGUGUUCUCUGAGCUGCUUGACUGAGAAGCAAUCAGGAGAGAAUUGCAUUUGGGUAGAAAAAUCAGUGCAAUGAAGACUUUGGAUUUAUUAAAACCAAGUUGUCCCUAAGGAAUCAGAUGUGGGCAUCUCUGACCAGAAAGCGUCCUCUGCUGAUGGAUCUUAGGUUGCCUGAAGGCACGUGGCAGGGCCGGUGGGAUGCACUGUGCAUCUUACAAAAAUGGGAGCAAAAUCAAUUAAAUAAAAAUGCCCAGACCACCAUGGAA